rnacentral:rRNA from 1 species
CGCAUCUGUGCAUGCAGCAUAUCAAUAAGCGGAGGAAAAGAAACUAACAAGGAUUCCCCUAGUAACGGCGAGUGAAGCGGGAAGAGCUCAAAUUUGAAAUCUUAAAGGGUUUCCCUUUACGAAUUGUAGUUUAAAGAAGUGUUUUCUGUUGAGGUUUUGGUAAAAGUUCUUUGGAAUAGGACAUCAUAGAGGGUGAGAAUCCCGUAUUUGACCUUUACUUUCAACUUUGUGAUACACUUUCAAAGAGUCGGAUUGUUUGGGAAUGCAGUCCAAAAUGGGUGGUAAAUUUCAUCUAAAGCUAAAUAUUGGCGAGAGACCGAUAGCGAACAAGUACCGUGAGGGAAAGAUGAAAAGAACUUUGAAAAGAGAGUUAAACAGUACGUGAAAUUGUCAAAAGGGAAGCGUUUGACACCAGUGUUGUUUUUCUGAAAAUCAAUUAAAGAACUGUUUAUGCUAAGCUGUUUAGACUUUAUCAGCUAACUGUUUAGUUUUGAGCUUUUCUUUAAUGCACUUUUCAGUUAACAAGUCAACAUCAAUUUCUUUUGCUGUAAAAAAGCUUGAGGAAGGUGGCUUGAGAUUCGUCUUAGGUGUUUAUAGCCUCUUGCCUAUGCAGUCGGAGAGAUUGAGGUCUGCAGCGUAGAUCCUUCGGGGCUAAAUGCAUUUGUGCUAAGUUAUAGCAUUUUAUAGACAACUUGUUGACUAUGAUUUGUCUUGUAGCUUACUCGCUUAUGUUAUUUUACCUACGCUUAGGAUGUUGAGUCAUCACACAUCUCU